rnacentral:rRNA from 1 species
CCGACUGCUAUUUGGGUGAGAAUAAGCCAUGCGAGUUGAAUGGGAUACCUAAAGUUCCCAUAGCAAACUGCUCAGUAACACAUGAUCAACUUACCCUAUAGAGAAAAAUAACCUCGGGAAACUGAGGAUAAUGUUUCAUAAUUGGAUUGGCUUGGAAAAGUUUUUCAAUGAAAAGGAUAAAAAAAAUGGUUUUUAUCCGCUAUAGGAUAGGAUCGUGUUCGAUUAUGGUUGUUGGUGAGAUAAUGGCUCACCAAGCCGAUAAUCGAUAGGGGCCGUGAGAGCGGGAGCCCCGAGAUGGGUACUGAGACAACGACCCAGGCCUUACGAGGCGCAGCAGGCGCGAAACCUCCGCAAUACACGAAAGUGUGACGGGGUCACCCAAAGUGUUCAAUUUGAACUGUGGUAGGUGAGUAAUGUCCCCUACUAGAAAGGAGAGGGCAAGGCUGGUGCCAGCCGCCGCGGUAAAACCAGCUCUUCAAGUGGUCGGGAUAAUUAUUGGGCUCAAAGUGUCCGUAGCCGGUUUAGUAAGUUCCUGGUAAAAUCGGGUAGCUUAACUAUCUGCAUGCUAGGAAUACUGCUAUACUAGAGGGCGGGAGAGGUCUGAGGUACUACAGGGGUAGGGGUGAAAUCUUAUAAUCCUUGUAGGACCACCAGUGGCGAAGGCGUCAGACUGGAACGCGCCUGACGGUGAGGGACGAAAGCCAGGGGAGCGAACCGGAUUAGAUACCCGGGUAGUCCUGGCCGUAAACGAUGCAUACUAGGUGAUGGUACGGCCAUGAGCCGUAUCAGUGCCGUAGGGAAACCGUUAAGUGUGCCGCCUGGGAAGUACGGUCGCAAGGCUAAAACUUAAAGGGAAUUGGCGGGGG